AGGAGAUGGUGUGUUAACAUCUACGUCAUAAAGCUGCAAAGGCGCUAAACAUCUUCUUGGAGGAAGAGGAAUCUUGGUUCUAGUUAAUGAGAGAAGCAGCACAGCCCAGUGGUUAAGUGUGCAAGCUCGGAAGUGACACAGCUGGGUUCCAAUCCUAAAUUCUGCCUUUUGCCAGCUCUGCAUAAACUGGUGGCAAGUUACUUCACUUCUGCAAGCCUCCUGUGCCAUGCCUACAAAUAGAGGAUAAGGAGACGUUUAUGGAGGUGACUUGCCCAAGGUCUUCCAAGCUGACUGGAACUGAGACAUCAGCUCUUCUUGGGUCUCGAGUCACCAGCCUUUGGACCUGCAGCUACACCAUCGACUUUCCUGCUUCUCAGGCCUUUGGAAUUGGACUGCAAUUUACAUCAUCAGUUCUCCUGGGUCUUCAGCUGGCUGACAGCAGAUCUGGGGACUUAGCUUCCAUAAUCAUGACAAUGCCUAGCUUCCUUUUAAACCACCUCUCCAGAGAGCAGAGGUUGCCGGAAGUGCACAGGCUGAAAGAGGUUUCCCUUUGCCUACACUCUGCCAAAUGGAACAUCUUCAAAGUGAUUCUCUGGUUCAAAAACAGAGGAUGCUGAGGAACAUCCCACGAGGCUGCUCCGCUUCCCGGCCUCCUGGCGAUUUAUUAAGUGCCAGGCUCUAUUCUGUGGUGGAGCAAAUCAGACAAUGAAGGAGACCGCAAUCCAGUGGAGGAAGAAUGAUGACAAUAAAGAAAGAAACAAGUAAAUAAAUAAGGUCAUUCCAGAAAAUGUUGGGAUGGCAGGGGAGACCUCCCUGAGGAGAUGACAUCUGAGCUGAGUGCUGAUUCAUGGGAAGGAAGAAGCCAUAUGCAGAUCCUGGAGAAGAGAAUUCCAGGCAUUGGGAACAGAGGAUGCAAAGCCUCAUUAAGCAUCUUUCCCCAAAUCAUACAGGUGAUGAGAGUCGGAGCCAGGGUUUGAACCCGGGUCUGUGUACCUCAAAGCCUGGUGAGCAGCCCCGCUCUGGGCUGCUGAAUGCCCACCAUGAACUCUGUAUAAGACAUGGAUCUCUGCUUCGGUCCAAGAUGUGGGGCAUGAAUGGCCCACAGCAAGGAGUCCUGGAAAGCACGAAGCUGGGACCAGAGUGGGGUGGGGUGGGAGGUCCAGCUGGCUCCCAAAACGGCUCUGCCUUGCUGAGCACCAGGGUCUCAUGCCAGAGCUCGGGGACAGCAGUCAGGCUGUCUGGGUUUGAAUCCCCACGUCCCACAUACCAGGUGUGUGACUUCUUCCUCAUCAAUAAAAUGGGUGGAGAACUAGUACCUUCCUCGUAGCUUUGUUUGUGAUGAUUAAAUGUGCUGACUCAUGUGAGGUGCUUAAAAUGGUGCCUGGCAUAUUCUAAGUACU